CACCAUCGGUGAGUCGAAGCCAACUGGAGAGACAGGAAUAGUCCGAUUGUUACGCCGCAAACUUUCGCCUUUUCCUGUUCGGGGCUCUCGACGCUGCAGACCUGACCGGCAGGAAGGAGAGCCUCCACAGGGGACCAUGUGCACCACGCUGAUGGUCCUGACCAGCAUCGGGCUCAUCUUGCGGCACAGAUUCUCCAGCAGAAUCAACCCGCAGAAGGAAGAAGAAGUGCCGUACGAGAAGAGCAACCAAGCAGCAGACAGAAAAUGACAGUGACAAACACCAGGACGACGAAACAUGUGAGCAAUUAUGGAGUAUUGUGAGCAACAGGUUUGUGCGAUCACGUCCAGCGCCAGCGGUCCCUGAAACAUGUCGGCGUGCUCCGCCACUCAACUGGAUGGUAGCGGUCUGCACCAGAGUCCCACCGGGACGGAACUACAACAACAUGUCUGAUCUUCCGUGCAGAUACCCUCUCUUCUACAACAACAAGUAAUUUUUUUGGGAGCAGUUCCAGUUUGAAGAGUCCUGUGUUUGUGCGCCAGAUUGCUUUUAAUUGUCGUUUGAUGCUGGGCCUACACCGGAGUGUGAACGUGUUUACGGCUAAAAUCUCCGAAACUGAAACCGAGUCUUCUCGUAAAAAUGACAAAAUCCUUAAUUUGUGGGUUUGUUUUCUUCAAGCCUAAUGCAUUUUAGUUUGUUUUUUUUAUGCACACGCAGCUUAGGUGCUGCUUUUUAAUUGGCUCGCAGUUCCUCUGAAGUGACCUGAGCUCAUCAGAAAGGUCGAGUAAAUCUUCAAAAUUGAUUGUUCUUGCUGACUAUGUGAAGAAGGAAUUUCCUGAGCAUGAACUGCCGCUUGGAACGAGGAUUAGUGUUAAUGCAGGUCAUGUGUGCGUCUUUGCAGGGGUCCCAUUUUGCCGGGAAUAAGUCAAAAUUCAAACGGAAUUUUACCGCAAACGUGUUGCUAGCCGCCUUCUGCUCCGUCACUGACAAGAAUAUAACGGCAUAGUUCCCCAUGAGUGCUGGUCUUGUAAAACAGACAUACCAGGUUCAAUCCAGCUACUACCAUACUUUUUGGGAUAUACAGUGCACCGGUAUAAGCCACACCCACCAAUUUUUAAAUAAAUAAAUAGUUUUACAUAUAUUAGCCUCACCGGACCAUAAGCCGAAAUAUUUUGUAAAUGUUUAUUUACAUACCUUAUUUGUUUCCAAACGGUGUCUGUAACAGGGCAGUAAAACGGCCGAUCAAACAAAACAGAAGUCAUGGUCAUGGACCCGCUAGCUGCAGAAGCUUGCUCUCCGAUCAGCUAAACAGACUUAAUAACUCCACGGUGACGUUUUGGUGAAUUUACGAAACCGAAACAAUACAAUAGAGACACUCGUUAUCGUGUUAGCAUAUUAGCUAAUGCCAACGAAGCUAGCUUGAUUGCAUUACGGUAGCACGUACAAACAUGCAUGACAACACUCCUGCAGACGUAACACAUGGGACGGUUCAGUAGGUCAGAAUUGUAAAACUUGGAGCGAUGAGUGAAGAAUCCAUACGAGUAGAAACGCUAUGGACGAAUAGAAGACGAAACGGGGUGUACUUCUAGGAGGAAGUAUAUGCCCUGCAGUGAGCGAACUCGUCCACAAUAUGGCGCCGUAGCACAAACGACACACCUUUUCAGCGUCUGUUGAAAAAUAUUUGUUGGAUACAAAACAUCAUGGCCGUUAGCGAAGAAAAAUCCAUAAAUUAAACACACCAUUUUGAAAGCCACAGGGUACAAAGCGUUGGAAAAAAGUAGCAGCUUAUAGUCCACCAAAUGCGGUCAUUUAUGCUCAGUGUGGUAUUUCCAGUAUUUGGAAAAUUACUUUUACAAAGUAAUUAUAGUUACUCUGCCAAAAAAGUAAUUUAAUUUCUCACAUGAUCACUCUUUAGUAAUCUAAUUAACUAAGAGAGUAAGUAAAUAUUGCGUUACUUAAAAAGAAACGUUAAAUAUCUGGCAAAUGCAGCUGAGAUAUUCCAUGAAAGCUGUGAGUGUGUGUGUGUGUGUGUGUGUGUGUGUGUGUGUGUGUGUGUGUGUGUGUGUGUGUGUGUGUGUGUGUGUGUGUGUGUGUGUGUGUGUGUGUGUGUGUGUGUG